AUGAACAGUAAUAGGGUUCCUGGGUCAGAUAGCAUUCCGGCCGAGUUUUACCAACACUGUUGGGAUAUAGUGAAAAAAGAUAUUAUGGGUCUGUUCCAUGCCUUCCAUGAUGGAAGCUUGGACGUGUAUAGGUUGAACUACGACAUUAUCACUCUCCUGCCCAAGAUCUCUGGAGUAGAUAAGAUCCAACAAUUCAGGCCUAUAUGUUUGUUGAGAUGUCCCUAUAAACUGAUUACCAAGGUCUUAGAUAAUAGAGUGGCCUUUUUUGCUGACACUUUGUUUAGCAAAUAUCAAAAUGCCUUUAUCAAAAACAGGAAUAUCAUGGAUGGGGUCUUAUCUUUGCAUGAAAUUCUUCACCAUACUUAUGUUAAGAAAAAAUGUGGGAUUGUCAUUAAACUCGACUUCGAGAAAGCAUAUGACAAGGUUAAUUGGGAUUUCCUUUUGAAGUGCCUUGAUAAUAGAGGGUUUGGGAAAACAUGGUGUGAGUGGAUGAGAAAAAUCCUGCAUAAUGGCACAGUUUGUGUCAAGUUGAACAAUACUAUGGGACCUUACUUCCAAAGUUAUAAAGGGGUCAGACAGGGAGAUCCUAUAUCCCCGUUCCGGUUUAAUAUCGCAGCUGAGUGCUUAUGCAAAAUGGUGCUGCAAGCACAGAAAAACAAUCUAUUUGUUGGGUUGGCUGCGGAUCUGGUGGAGAAUGGGGUAGCAAUUCUGCAAUAUGCAGACGAUACCGUUCUUUGUAUUGAACACGAUCCAGAUAAAGCUGUGAAUCUUAAGCUUCUUCUGUAUAUGUUCGAACUCAUGUCAGGUUUGAAAAUUAACUACCAGAAGAGUGAGAUUCUUUGUGUUGGGGGGGAUGACAACAUAUUGCAAACUUGUGCUGACAUUUUCAACUGUCAGAUUGGCCACUUCCCUAUGAAAUAUUUGGGGGUCCCAGUCAGUUAUUCAUCCAUCAGAGGGGUUGAUUGGGAUUUUCUGGAAGCUAAGUAUAUUAGUAGGUGUGAUUCUGGUUUGGGCAGUAAUGCC
rnacentral:rRNA from 1 species